rnacentral:rRNA from 1 species
AUAUCAAUAAGCGGAGGAAAAGAAACCAACAGGGAUUGCCUCAGUAACUGCGAGUGAAGCGGCAAAAGCUCAAAUUUGAAAUCUGCGCCCUUCGGGGCGUCGAGUUGUAAUUUUGAGAUGCGUUUUCGACCGACAGGCCUGCCUUAAGUCCCUUGGAACAGGGCGUCACAGAGGGUGAGAAUCCCGUGAACGGUAGGCCUCGAGGCAAACGAUACGUAUUCGACGAGUCGAGUUGUUUGGGAAUGCAGCUCAAAAUGGGUGGUAAAUUUCAUCUAAAGCUAAAUAUAGGGGAGAGACCGAUAGCGCACAAGUAGAGUGAUCGAAAGAUGAAAAGCACUUUGAAAAGAGAGUUAAAAAGUAC